CUUAUCUCACUGGGCCACAGGCGCGGAGGAAUGACUUCAUCGUCACGGGGCUCACACAGGCAGUGAGGAGGAAGUGACUGCUGGGACUCAGCGGUCAACAGCACGUGACCACGAUGCUUCUCCGAACACAACCAGCAGACGAAACCGACCUCAGCUCCUAAAACACUCCCUCAGGUUCCGACGCACGCGCAUACACAAAUUGGGGGCCAGGUGAAGACGGCGCUCAUCGAGAACGCCAUCUACUACGGCACCUACCCGCUCAUCUUCGGCUCGCUGCUCAUCUACGUGGCCUUGCACCCCGAGUGGCACCUCUCCUGGGGGAGCGGUGGUCGCCUGUGGAAGCUAGCGUCUAGCAGUGGACCAUCAAGGGGCUUCCACCGCGCCGUUUAUCUCCUGCUCCUGCCUGCUCAAUUCAUCCAAUCCCCAAUCUGAGGGCCCCAUCUCCCCCCCACACAC
ensembl:lncRNA